rnacentral:tRNA from 1 species
GGGAGUGUAUGGGGUUCUGGUGUCCCUCCUGGACUUCAAAUCCAGUGUUGCCUGUGAGUAACAGGCAGGGUGGGUUCGAUUCCCACACACUCCCGCCA